rnacentral:rRNA from 1 species
UACGGAGGGUGCAAGCGUUAUCCGGAAUCACUGGGUUUAAAGGGUGCGUAGGCGGGCAGAUAAGUCAGAGGUGAAAGCUCACGGCCUAACCGUGGAAUUGCCUUUGAAACUGUUUGUCUUGAAUCAGGUUGAGGUUAGCGGAAUGUGACAUGUAGCGGUGAAAUGCAUAGAUAUGUCAUAGAACACCAAUUGCGUAGGCAGCUGACUGGACCUGUAUUGACGCUGAGGCACGAAAGCGUGGGGAGCGAACAGG